AUGGAUGGGAUCAGUAGGUUGGUUGGAUCCGUGGUGGUCAGCCGGCGGCGCUGGGUUCGCCGGUUCUGAGACCUGGUUUCUGGAAUGGCAUCAAACCUUUUUCUUUCAAGUCUUCUGAUUUCCUUUUUCUAGAAGCAAGUCUUUUGGUUUCUGGAAUGAGAAACUCUUACCAUCACCUGGCGGAUUGCAGCGGCCGCGUCCACCACCUCCCCUGCGUUACAUGUCUCCACGUGGGCCGCGUCCACCACCUCCCCUGCGUUACAUGUCUCCACGUGAGAGCCCGUGUGCCGUCCUUUAUCAAACGUUGAAACAUAUGCAGUGUUGUAA
rnacentral:lncRNA from 1 species